UCCAGCCCCUUCAGCAAACAGCACUGCAAUGACACCCAGCUCCAAGGACAAAGACAUUCAAAAGAAGGCCAGGGGGCAAGGAGGAAACUCCCUGUAUGGCUCACUUCUUACACCACCUUGCACAAUGGGGGCGAUGUCACCUUUUCUAUCUUCAGCUCCCCUCAGAGGACCAGCUGCUCUGGUGGUUUCUUCCAGCCUUCAAGGGGUGGACCUAUGGAGGACCUGAGCAAGGUGAGCCCGCCCAAGGUCACUUUGUUUGAGCCAUCAGAAGCAGAGAUCGUCAACAAACAAAUGGCUACCCUCGUGUGCCUGGCCAGGGGCUUCUACCCUGACCACGUGGAACUGAGCUGGUGGGUGAACGGGAAGGAGCUGCGCAGUGGAGUCAGCACAGACCCUCAGCCCUACAAGGAGACCAAUAACAUCACCUACUGCCUGAGCAGCCGCCUGAGGGUCUCUGCAACCUUCUGGCACAAUCCUCGCAACCACUUCCGCUGCCAAGUCCAGUUCUAUGGGCUUACAGCUGAAGAUGAGUGGGACAAGGCCUCGCCCAAGCCUGUCGACCAGAACGUCAGUGCAGAGGUCCGGGGCCGAGCAGAUUGCGGUAUUACCUCAGUAUCCUACCAACAAGGGGUCCUGUCGGCCACUGUCCUUUAUGAGAUCCUGCUGGGGAAAGCCACCCUGUAUGCAGUACUCGUCAGCACCCUAGUGCUGAUGGCCAUGGUUAAAAGAAAGCAUUCCUGAGGCCAGACCUGGAGGCAGAGCCCAGAGCUUCCAAUCCAUUAUGUGAACUCGGAUUCUCUUUUUCCAUUACUUCUGAAGACCUGUUCUCGCUUGUCUGUGCAUCCUAAAGUCUGCCUACUGGUCAUGUAUGCUUACACAUGUUCAUCUGAAAUCCCUGUGACCUGGAGAGUGCCUAGCACACUUAAAACCAAUAAACAUAACCAAUAAACAUGUUCUAGAAUGA